GCAAGUCGAGCGAGAAAGGUCUUCGGACUGAGUACAGCGGCGGACGGGUGAGUAACGCGUAGGAAUCUACCUGGUAGUGGGGGACAACUUGGGGAAACUCAAGCUAAUACCGCAUACGCCCUACGGGGGAAAGCGGGGGAUCUUCGGACCUCGCGCUAUCGGAUGAGCCUGCGUUGGAUUAGCUAGUUGGUGGGGUAAUGGCCUACCAAGGCGAUGAUUUGUAGCUGGUCUGAGAGGAUGAUC
rnacentral:rRNA from 1 species